GAUGAACGCUGGCGGCGUGCUUAACACGUGCAAGUCGAACGGAAAGGCCACAGCUUGCUGUGGUACUCGAGUGGCGAACGGGUGAAUAACACGUGGGUGAUCUGCCCUGUACUUCGGGAUAAGCUUGGGAAACUGGGUCUAAUACCGGAUAGGAAUCACAUGUGGGUGUGUGGUUGGAAAGCUUUUGCGGUAUGGGAUGAGCUCGCGGCCUAUCAGCUUGUUGGUGGGGUAAUGGCCUACCAAGGCGUCGACGGGUAGCCGGCCUGAGAGGGUGUACGGCCACAUUGGGACUGAGAUACGGCCCAGACUCCUACGGGAGGCAGCAGUGGGGAAUAUUGCACAAUGGGCGCAAGCCUGAUGCAGCGACGCCGCGUGGGGGAUGACGGCCUUCGGGUUGUAAACUCCUUUCGUCAGGGACGAAGCGAAAGUGACGGUACCUGGAUAAGAAGCACCGGCUAACUACGUG
rnacentral:rRNA from 1 species